UAGGGAAUCUUCCGCAAUGGACGAAAGUCUGACGGAGCAACGCCGCGUGAGUGAAGAAGGAUUUCGGUUCGUAAAACUCUGUUGUUAGGGAAGAAAAAAUGUAUAGUAACUAUAUACAAAAGAGACGGUACCUAACCAGAAAGCCACGGCUAACUACGUGCCAGCAGCCGCGGUAAUACGUAGGUGGCAAGCGUUGUCCGGAAUUAUUGGGCGUAAAGCGCGCGCAGGUGGUUUAGAAAGUCUGAUGUGAAAGCCCACGGCUCAACCGUGGAGGGUCAUUGGAAACUAAUAAACUUGAGUGCAGGAGAGAAAAGUGGAAUUCCUGGGGUAGCGGUGAAAUGCGUAGAGAUUAGGAGGAACACCGGUGGCGAAAGCGGCUUUUUGGCCUGCAACUGACACUGAGGCGCGAAAGCGUGGGGAGCAAACAGG
rnacentral:rRNA from 1 species